UCUUUCUUGAUCUUUUGAUGGYGGGUGGCCGUCUAGUGGGAGAUUUGUCUGCUUAAUUGCGAUACAACGAGACCUCCCCUUAUAGCCGGUCCGCAUUUGCGGGCCGCUGGCUUCUUAGGGGGACUAUCGGCUCAAGCGAUGGAAGUGCGCGGCAAUAACAGGUCUGUGAUGCCCUUAAUGUUCGGGCCGCACGCGCGCUACACUGACA
rnacentral:rRNA from 1 species